UGGGGUGAAAGGGAGUCUGGGGGUCUCUAAAUAGCUAUUGGAGGCUAGGUAUCCAAGCUCCUGUAGAAAAUCGGGAUGAAGGAGGAGUCCGUCUCCUACUCCAUAUCGAGCAAGGCUCUAUUCCUAUUUUUUCGGUCUCCUACUCCAAGUCGAAUAAGACUCUCCUUUUUUUCCAUAUCCUACUCCAACUCUUAUAUCUGGGACAAUCAAGUGGCUAGGUCCGGUUCAUUAUUACUUGGGUUGGGUGUUACAUUCUCCCCCCCAUUAAAAAAAAAAAAAAUUGUCC
rnacentral:lncRNA from 1 species